rnacentral:rRNA from 1 species
CCUACGGGGAGCUGCAGUGGGGAAUAUUGGACAAUGGGCGAAAGCCUGAUCCGGCCAUGCCGCGUGUGUGAAGAAGGCCUUCGGGUUGUAAAGCACUUUCAGUGGGGAAGAAAGCCUUGGGGCUAAUACCCUCGAGGAAGGACAUCACCCACAGAAGAAGCACCGGCUAACUCCGUGCCAGCAGCCGCGGUAAUACGGAGGGUGCGAGCGUUAAUCGGAAUUACUGGGCGUAAAGCGCGCGUAGGCGGUCUGAUAAGCCGGUUGUGAAAGCCCCGGGCUCAACCUGGGAACGGCAUCCGGAACUGUCAGGCUAGAGUGCAGGAGAGGAAGGUAGAAUUCCCGGUGUAGCGGUGAAAUGCGUAGAGAUCGGGAGGAAUACCAGUGGCGAAGGCGGCCUUCUGGACUGACACUGACGCUGAGGUGCGAAAGCGUGGGUAGCAAACAGGAUUAGAUACCCGUGUAGUC